GCUUAACACAUGCAAGUCGAGCGAGAAUCGUUUUGCUGAAGGCUUCGGUCCGAUGCAGAAUGAGGAAAGCGGCGAACGGGUGAGUAACGCGUGGGCAGCCUGGCCUUAAGAAAAGGAUUGCCCCCGGAAACGGGGAGUAAUACUUUAUGAGAAUAGAAAAGGGCAUCCUGUUUCUAUUCAAAGCGCAAGCGCUUAAGGAUGGGCCCGCGUAUCAUUAGCUAGUUGGUGAGAUAACAGCCCACCAAGGCAACGAUGAUUAGCCGGUCUGAGAGGGCGAACGGCCACAUUGGAACUGAGGGACGGUCCAAACUCCUACGGGAGGCAGCAGUGGGGAAUAUUGCGCAAUGGAGAAGAACUCUGACGCAGCAAUACCGCGUGAGCGAAGAAGGCCUUCGGAUCGUAAAGCUCUGUUAUCAGGGAAGAAGAAAAUGACGGUACCUGAUGAGCAAGUCCCGGCUAACUACGUGCCAGCCGCCGCCUGUAAAAC
rnacentral:rRNA from 1 species